GAGUUUGAUCCUGGCUCAGAAUGAACGCUGGCGGCAGGCCUAACACAUGCAAGUCGAACGGAGUUAUAUUGUAGCUUGCUAUGGUAUAACUUAGUGGCAGACGGGUGAGUAAUGUAUAGGAAUCUACCUAGUAGUACGGAAUAAUUGUUGGAAACGGCAACUAAUACCGUAUACGCCCUACGGGGGAAAAAUUUAUUGCUAUUAGAUGAGCCUAUAUUAGAUUAGUUAGUUGGUGAGGUAAAGGCUUACCAAGACAAUGAUCUAUAGCUGAUCUGAGAGGAUGAUCAGCCACACUGGAACUGAGAUACGGUCCAGACUCCUACGGGAGGCAGCAGUGGGGAAUAUUGGACAAUGGGCGAAAGCCUGAUCCAGCCAUGCCGCAUGAGUGAAGAAGGCCUUCGGGUUGUAAAGCUCUUUUAGUGAGGAAGAUAAUGACGGUACUCACAGAAGAAGUCCUGGCUAACUCCGUGCCAGCAGCCGCGGUAAUACGGAGAGGGCUAGCGUUAUUCGGAAUCAUUGGGCGUAAAGGGCGCGUAGGCGGGUUAGUAAGUUAAAAGUGAAAUCCCAAGGCUCAACCUUGGAACUGCUUUUAAAACUGCUAGUCUAGAGAUUGAAAGAGGAUAGAGGAAUUCCUAGUGUAGAGAUGAAAUUCGUAAAUAUUAGGAGGAACACCAGUGGCGAAA
rnacentral:rRNA from 2 species